CUUCCGUAGGUGAACCUGCGGAAGGAUCAUUACCGAGUUUUCGGGCUUCGGCUCGACUCUCCCACCCUUUGUGAACGUACCUCUGUUGCUUUGGCGGCUCCGGCCGCCAAAGGACCUCCAAACUCCAGUCAGUAAACGCAGACGUCUGAUAAACAAGUUAAUAAACUAAAACUUUCAACAACGGAUCUCUUGGUUCUGGCAUCGAUGAAGAACGCAGCGAAAUGCGAUAAGUAAUGUGAAUUGCAGAAUUCAGUGAAUCAUCGAAUCUUUGAACGCACAUUGCGCCCCUUGGUAUUCCGGGGGGCAUGCCUGUUCGAGCGUCAUUACAACCCUCAAGCUCUGCUUGGAAUUGGGCACCGUCCUCACUGCGGACGCGCCUCAAAGACCUCGGCGGUGGCUGUUCAGCCCUCAAGCGUAGUAGAAUACACCUCGCUUUGGAGUGGUUGGCGUGCGCCCGCCGGACGAACCUUCUGAACUUUUCUCAAGGUGACCUCGGAUCA
rnacentral:rRNA from 1 species